CUCUGUUCUGUUUUGUCUCUUCCUUUACAAGCCUUGCCUGCAUCAACAACAUAUCCCUAGCAUCUACACAUCUCCCUAGCUACAUCCCUAGCUCCUUUGCUCUGACUUAACUAUGAUGUCACAAUAAGCUUUGGCUGGCCAGGGCCUUUGCUUGCUCAAGCCUCUGACUGCACAAAUGCUGAACAUCCUGGUUCUCCAUAUCUGUCACUUUAACUCUCUCUGUGUGUCUUUCUUUUCGCCUAGUGCCGUAGCACUGAACAGGAUACCAGAACCCAUUGCAGGGGCCUCCAGUAACCUGAACCUGGACUCAUGGCAUGGGAAGGUCUGGUUGAACCUGCAAAUGCAUGGUGACUACUAGCGACCCCAGAGGCCUCCAUGGAGAAACGCACCAGUGGAACAGAGCAGUGGACACAGUGGACUGCAGCAGCUGAAUGAAAACUCAAUGAACAACAUACCUGUCCUUGUACUGGUGAGCAAGAUGGACAUGUGUUUACCUCAAGGAUUGACUGACAAAUUAGUGUCGGGUGACUAUACACCAGGUCCAGUGUUUACAGGUUAUUUGGCUCCAGUUCUCUGGUAUCUGGGCUAAUUAAUUUUAGUUCAUCGUCUCAGCUGAUUUUGUUUUGUGCCUCUGUGUGUACGUGUUUAAGUUGUUGUUAUGCCGUUCUGAUUGGAUGAUGCACCUUUCUACACCUUUA